GGUCUUAGGCCGCUGAGAACUGUAGCGUAUAGGUGUGACUGUCCUGCUAUAUUGCAUUUCCGAAGUCUCUUUGAUAGGGGCCAACAUCCAGAGAGGGUGCGAGACCUGUACGGAAAGUAGUAUAGUUGGUAUGGUUACUCCUUGGAGUCGGGUUGCUUGAAAGUGCAGCCUAAAGUUGGUGAUAAACUUCAUCUAAGGCUAAAUAUCGACGCGAAAUCGAUAGCAAACAAGUACCGUGAGGGAAAGUUGCAAAGAACUUUGAAGAGAGAGUUCAAGAGAACGUGAAAUCGCUGAAGUGGAACCGGAGAGAGUUAACAUAACUUGGUAGCUAUAUCCUCUAAAGUCGCUUAACUGUGGCUCUGGGGGGUGGACGCUACCUGUUGUUGCACUGACUGCGUUGAUUGUGCUUUCCGAACAGUAUAGUGUUGCCCACUUUGUGGUGUCUUGCUUUCUGGGAGGUUUGUCAUAAUUAACGUAAAGCCAAUUCCCUUUGGAGUCAGUGUGAAAGUUAACCACCUUUCCGACCCGUCUUGAAACACGGACCGAGGAGUGUAAUUUAUACGCGAGUCAAGGGGUGGUGAAAACCCUAGGGGCGGAAUGAAAGUAAAGGCCGGUUAACCGGUUGACAUGGGAUCCGCUCUUCGGAGCGGCGCACCAUGGCCCUGUCUUGUCUGCUUGCAGAUGGGCAGCGGUAGAGCGUAUAGUUUGCGACCCGAAAGAUGGUGAACUAUGCUUGAGCAGGACGAAGCCAGA
rnacentral:rRNA from 1 species